AAUAAUAAAAAAUAAUAAUUUACCUUAUUUUUGACUUGGGGAAAUGGAUUAAAUCUAAGUUUGUUGGCAUAGUUGCUCAAUCAUUCAUCCCUCUGAAGUUCAGAAUUAUUUUACCUUUUUUUUCUUUAAUUCCUUGGAUACGUUUUUAUUGAAAAGCCACAGUAUGCUGGCUUGUGGUCAUUUAAAAAAAAAAAAAUUUUUAAGAGAAGGGAAAAAAAGAAACGCCACAGUACUAUUUGUAAAAGGGGAUAGUGGGUGGCUGCCAAGAAAAGAUUUCCAAGCAAACUCCUUUUCAGUGUUUAUUCAUUUGAAGAGCCUCCUUGGGGCAGCUGCAAACUGUGGUAUCCUUGGUGCUGUUCUCAGUCUGCGCCUGGUCAUUGCAGGGCCCCGUGAAGCACGUGUACAGAGUCCUGCAGUGUCAGGAAGAAGAGCUCACGCAAAUGGUGUCCACGAUGUCCGACGGCUGGAAAUUCGAACAGCUCAUCAGCAUUGGAUCUUCCUAUAACUACGGCAAUGAGGAUCAGGCAGAAUUCCUCUGUGUUGUCUCCAGAGAACUAAAUAAUUCUACCAACGGCAUCGUCAUAGAGCCGAGCGAAAAGGCGAAGAUUCUUCAGGAGAGAGGAUCGCGGAUGUAAACUAAGACCCCGAAAACUCCAGACCUUCAGGAGAGCAGUCAGCAGAGCCCCUCUGUGAAGUGAAACCUCGCUCCUGUCCAGUGACCGAGCCACUGCAAAGCACAGCUGAGCCUGGCCCCCUGUGAAGAAGUGUUCUGGUCAAAACUAAAGGAACUCGCUCCCCACCUGCAGGACUCCGAAGACAGAUGCGACUUCCGGCUGCAGAAUACCUUUUCAGAAACCUGCUUUCAUUUGCUUAGCCAGUGUUAGAUCUUUACAACAGCAGCUGGGCUGGGUUCCCAGUCGGAGCCUUUUGGGGAUCUGGGGG
rnacentral:sRNA from 1 species